UACGUAGGGAGCGAGCGUUGUCCGGAUUUAUUGGGCGUAAAGAGCGUGUAGGCGGCCAGACAGGUCCGUUGUGAAAACUCGAGGCUCAACCUCGAGACGCCGAUGGAAACCGUCUGGCUAGAGUCCGGAAGAGGAGAGUGGAAUUCCUGGUGUAGCGGUGAAAUGCGCAGAUAUCAGGAAGAACACCCGUGGCUAAGGCGGCUCUCUAGUACGGUACUGACGCUGAGACGCGAAAGCGUGGGGAGCGAACAGG
rnacentral:rRNA from 1 species